CACAAGGAACACAGUGUCUCACUUCCUACUCCUUCCUGCAGGGAGGAAACAAUAGACUAGGACCCAUCCUACCUGUACAUCACAACAUCUCUAAGGUAGCUGGCAACUUUCCCGCUCCCUUUCACCCGUGCAGAGCUGCCCUGAGAAUGUUCUUAGCCCAGUGGGGCAGCAUGUACUGGUUGGAUUUACUGAGUCAUUCUACAUUCUGGAGUGAUAAUCACCCACUGACUUAUGACAUUCUUGCACCAGAGAAGAUACCAAACCACCUUCUCAAGGGAAGAAAUGAACAGUACCCAAAGCUGAGAUAUAGCUCUUUGGAACCUGUGUGGAAGCUUGGUUUCUCCUUUAGUAGCUACCACAUGGGCUAGCUGCUUGCUGGGAAUGAUGUUGCCCUUCCUUCCAGGUAAGAUUUAUCCAAUGCUAAGUUUCCCAUGGGUCCCACUUUCUGAAGUUCCAAAUAAAUGGGCCACAUAAGAAUAUCUCA
rnacentral:lncRNA from 12 species